UUAUGGUUUAGGGUUUUGAGUUUUUGACCAAAUCCAAUAUCAUCUAUUUUUACAGGUUUAUUAUUUUUAUAACUAUUCAACUACAGAUAUAUUUCACGAGGUUAAAAGAAAGAAGGACUGAAGAAAAUAGGUAUUAAAGAUUUUUUCGGAGUUGUUUGACACCUUUUGAGACUCUUAUCACUUUUCAUGGAAAAAGUCAAAGGAAAUCACCGGGAGUACCAAAGAAUCCACAUUCCUAGGGUACUAUCUUCAUUAAGAGUAGAACAUGUAACCAUCUCAUUUAUCCGACCUUCAUCCAACUACAUUAUCCAAUCAACCCAGAUAAGUGGUCUCUAAAAAGGUUGUCAUGAACACUUUGUUUUGCUAAAAAUACUGAACCUACCCAUAUAAUCAUUAUGUUUGUGUGAUACAGUAAUGUGGA